rnacentral:rRNA from 1 species
UACGAAGGGGGCGAGCGUUGUUCGGAUUUACUGGGCGUAAAGGGCGCGUAGGCGGCGAGUCAAGUCGAGUGUGAAAGCCCCGGGCUCAACCUGGGAAUUGCGCUCGAGACUGGUCUGCUUGAGUUCGGGAGAGGAGAGUGGAAUUCCCAGUGUAGAGGUGAAAUUCGUAGAUAUUGGGAAGAACACCGGUGGCGAAGGCGGCUCUCUGGACCGAGACUGACGCUGAGGCGCGAAAGCGUGGGGAGCAAACAGG